rnacentral:rRNA from 1 species
UACUGGGCGUAAAGCGCACGCAGGCGGUCUGUCAAGUCGGAUGUGAAAUCCCCGGGCUUAACCUGGGAACUGCAUUCGAAACUGGCAGGCUAGAGUCUUGUAGAGGGGGGUAGAAUUCCAGGUGUAGCGGUGAAAUGCGUAGAGAUCUGGAGGAAUACCGGUGGCGAAGGCGGCCCCCCUGGACAAAGACUGACGCUCAGGUGCGAAAGCGUGGGGA